CCUAAACCUGCUUUUAACUGAAAGUUUAUAGACGCGAUGAGCUCACUCCUGGAACCACAUCAUGAGAGGUAUUUUUCUUCAACCACUGCUGAGAUAAAGUUCUACACAUAAGAGCCACUCCUGGAAAAGACACAUCUCUGGGCUGACCAAAGAUCAUAAUCCAUCUCUGUGCAACAUGGAAGACAAGACACCUCUAAGAAAAAACAUGGCUAGGAAUCAGUUGGGAAGAUCUACUCAUCGGUGGAAGGGCCUGAGCUGGUACACAUUGUCUCUUUUCCUCCAGCAGACUGGCUGGGCUUUGUUCCUGUGGCGGAGGCAGUCAUAAAGGUGGGGGAAAGAGAGAGAGAGAUUGAGAAGAGAAUCAAGCAGCGUCUUCCGAGGCCUAAUCUGAGAUACCAAACAG
rnacentral:lncRNA from 1 species